AUGAUGACAAGUCAACUAAGUCUUCAUUCUAUAUUUCUGCUUGUAUGUUUGGUGCUAUCUGCUGUAGAUGUGAGUUGUUCAUAUCCAUCUAGUGCCAGAAGCAGGAAAACUGUACAGGAGGAAAGAAUUUCCCUGGAAACGGAGGAGCCAAGAAAUUGGAGACCUCCAUUUUACCCCUUUACACCGAACCUGAGUCUUAGUCCGAGUCAAUCCUUCCCCAACCAUAUCCAACGUGACCAGGCUCAGAGAGUCUUCACCCUGAGACGUGGAGCCAAAUCAGGGACCAAGCUGACAGAAGUCCUCUUUGAUGGAGAGAAUCUUGAGCCUGUCAACAGUGGCCAACAGGGCAUGGUACAGUCUGUGCGUGGUGACUAUGUCCAAAAGGAGAUCCAUCACCCCCAGCGUCGGACUGUUUUUAGAGUGAGCAGCAAGAACCUUGACAAGAGUAACUCUCCAGCAAUUCUCAGUGAUGACUUGCCUCACAAACAUUUCCCAGGAGAUGUUUCCUCUAACGAUGCUUUCAAUAGACCCCCGUUUCACCCUAGUGCUCCCCAGAGAGAAAAUGGAUUGGAGACUGCAGACCCUCAGGAGUCUGACCAACUGUAUAUCCAAGAACCUAACUCUGUGAGAGCUGUUGUUAAACCUAUUCCUGUCCCCAUAACCUCUCAACCUUUCUCGGAUUCUCCAAUAUCUUUCCGGAGGGGGACAUUUUCAAGUACCUCUGAACCUAUUAAGGUAGCUCGUUACCACAGCACCUACUCAUUGAGUGACCUAGGUAGCCCAAUUGUCCCGGGAACCUUAGGCACCUCUGGUAACUUUCAGCCUGUUAAAACCCCUGUGAUCCAAGGUGGCAAUGUUGUAACCAAUAGUUUGCACCCCGCUGGUGAAAGACGUGGCUCUCCUGUCGCUGAUCACCCCCACAUCCAGAUCCAAUGGUCUGAAAACCCUUUGAGCAAGACAGCUAUUGAAGGAGAAAAGUCAGUUAACACACUUGCUGACACCUCUCCUACCCAAAGUGAGAGAAACCCCAGCGUUGGAGAAUCUGGUUUGUCCACAAAUGUCAAAGGGGACUAUGGCCAGACUGGUUCUAUGGGUUACCCUAGGUCCUUUAUGUCUGGCAAUAGACAACAAGCACCAGAGCACCAGUCAGCUGUGAGCCAGUCAGCUUCUUUGGAAGAAUCUGAACUUACUCCUAGUGUCACACAACCCUUCCAUCGCAGUGCUAACUUUGCCCACACUGGAGGUCGCCCUGGAAACUAUUCUUCCAAUAAAAUAGCUGGUCCUCAGGCUAGAAGUGCUUUCAGCAGAUUUCUUCCUGGUAGUAGGUUUGGCUUUUUCUGGAAUGCAUUAACGAAACCCAUGCAAAAUAUGCCUCCAAAAAGAAAAACUGCUCCUUCUAUCCUUGCCCCAAAUCAAUCAAGAACGAAGAGUAGGCCGGUCUCUUGGGGGAAUAGCCUUGUGCUAAGAAACUCAUCCAGCUCUCUGACCAGAGGACCCACAGGCAAUUACAAACUUGGAAAAUCCACAAGCAUUAACACACUGUUUGGGUUCAAAGGGUUCCAGUAUCAAGCUCCCAAGAUAUUGGCAUCUAUUAAAAGUGAAGAAGACCAUCCUGUUCUUGUGGUCAGAGAUUCCAUUAACACCAAUCACGCAAAUAAUCAAUAUAUUGGCUGGAGAGAGAGUCUUGGUACAUCUAGGGGCAUAAAUAUGGGUUCUGUCAGUAGGUAUCCACCUGUAUUAAAAAAAUAUGGUUUUCGCCCUAUUAAUAAAGAAGUUCCCAUUUCAGAUUCCCCUGUCCCAAGCAUUAUUCUAACCACAGCCACAUUCAGUUCAGAACCACAAAAAGUGCAAUCUAUGUCAGUGGAAGACAGCCUAGUCUCUAGGAAUACUGAGUCUGCACAUGGUGACAGUGACCACAGAAAUGUGCAAGGUAGCCUUGAUGUGGUAAAGUCUGACACAGACUCUGUGUAUGUGAACCACAGCUCUGAUUCCCCAGCUCCCAGGCAACAUGUGAGCUCCACCCAAAACACAAUACCUGAUUCUAUAACCUCAACUGCUUUCAAGCCCGAAGUGAGAUUCAAAAAGUUUGAGUUUGUAAUGAAUAAAGAGUCCAACGGUUUCAGGAACAAACAGAACAGAAGUAGUUUAGACAUUAAGAGUGCAGGGGAAACGAAACCCUCAGUCAGGCAGGUUGAACCAACCCCUCCUGAAAUCCAGCCAACCUCCAUUACUACAACAGCCACACAGAGCCUAUAUGUCCACAGUGGUGGCCCAAGUGGUGAUACAUCUCAUAAAACUGGAGAUGACAAGUCAUAUGAUGAAAACAAGUCAACUGCACAGUACACAGAAACAGAGAAACUUUUGAGCAAACACUUAAGGUAUAAAUCUGGUGCCCUCUCAAAACGACCUAAUGGCUAUGCUGAUAUGGGCCUCCAAAUACUCAAAAACAAAGCGGGAACAACUCCGGACAAAGAUGCUGACCUCCGUGGCCCAACGGUUUCUCCCAUCAAAGAGGUUCUCCCUUUGUCUGGAUCAAAAGGAGACCCCAUAGAACAUCCACCCCGAGGAGCAUUCAGUUAUUCUGCCAACGUCCACUUGGGACCUGCCAACGUCCACUUGGGACCUGCCAACGUCCACUUGGGACCUGCCAACGUCCACUCGGGACCUGCCAACGUCCACUCGGGGCCUGCCAACGUCCACUCGGGGCCUGCCAACGUCCACUCGGGGCCUGCCAACGUCCACUCGGGGCCUGCCAACGUCCACUCGAGGCCUGCCAACGUCCACUCGGGGCCUGCCAACGUCCACUCGGGGCCUGCCAACGUCCACAUGGGACCGGUGAGGGUACAAGUCCUCCCCCGUAGUCGCAACCCCACCGGCAGGGUCGUAAAGGGAAAAACAUUUAAGGAAAAUGUCCCUUCCUCCUCCGUUGCCCUCUCUCCCCCGAACAACGCUGCCUCCCCAUCCGUCCUCAGGCUGGGUGAACACGGGCCCAUGAGGUUCAAGGCUGUUCAGUUUGAUGACAUCCUAGGAAGUGCCUCUUUCAGUGGGGUCCGACAGAGCGGAGGCUCCAGGCCCACUGUGCAGCCGACAGCCAACACCUUUACGACCGUGUCAAGUCACGGCGGAGGUGCCCGGGACCGAUGGUUGGGGUCAACACAAGGUAAAGGGGGGAAACCCAGAGAUGUGCCACUCCCACCCGUCCCAAGUAACAAAGAUGCUGGUCAGAGUGGGGAGGGGCAUGCCAGCAACGUCCAAGAAAACGUCCGAAGUAUGGAAGGGUAUUUCGGUAGCAUUAAAGGCGGGAUGGGAAGGAAAGAAAAUCCCAGUAGGUCAUAUGUGUCCUCUGUAGGCUCUGCUGAUAAUCCCUCAGGGAAUCCCAGUCAAUCAGAAGAUUUGUCUGAAAUGAACUAUUUGAGGACAUCUGCAGGUAAUCUUUUCUUCAAGUCAAUAAAAUCUGCUUUGACUGCAUGAAAGAUGUGACCUGACCUCCCUAGACCUACUCCUAAGUAUUUAUUCAGAACACGGUUGAACUUUAUAAAUUUGAGGAUGUAUAAUAAAGGUUCUUACUUUCAUUGUCUGCUGUCCAACAGUUCAUUUUUUCUUUUCUUUUAUAUUUGAAAAGCAAUAUCCCAGCCAUAUAUGAAGUGUCCUCAUUGCGAUUUGUACCAACAGCAGGCAUUCCUAAAAACAUCUCCAAUGUUCUGGUAUAGUGGGAAUCUGUCAAAAGCCCCCCUCUUGCUUGGGGCACAAGCCUUUCCCACCCAUACACUACACUUGCUUUCAUGACGACCCUGGACUACCCAUUGAUGUGACUUAAGUAAAGCAGUUAUUGAAUGAAGUGACAAGACUUGCGAAAAUUGGUAGUGGUGUUAACAACUCAGCUGUGUUCAAUUUUGUUGCACGUUUUACUUCGUUUAUGGGUUUUUUGUAGUGGCUUUUUGAUUCUGCACAUGGAGGGAGGUAGAAUGUAGCUUACAUUUGCAUUAUUUCAUACAAAGAAUUAAAUGACAAAAUUGUGACUAAAGGUUUGUUAGUUUAGUGUAUCGUUGUAGUCAUGUUUUUCCCACUUUCAUCAUGUGCGGAAUCAGACAGCCAUGUCCAGCUACAGUAGACCUUCUGUUCAGAGUUAUAGUAGACCAUAACUAAAAUGGCUUAAAAGCUGCCAAAAUUAAUACUGCUACUCUGAGUAAAUAACAAAUGUACUACUUUGGUUUUAGACCUUAUUAUUUAGGUGUGAGACUCUCCCCACUUCUUCGGUUAACUUUUCAGCAUGUACUGUAUUAACAGUAGGUUUGCAACAUAGUAAAAGGUAGGAAAGGUGACUCCAUAGGAAGUUGUAUUUAUAAUGCUAGUUAUACAUUUAGAUAUAUCAAUAUGUAAUGCAUGUGUGAUCAACUAUAUUCAUACUUUGAC
ensembl:lncRNA